rnacentral:rRNA from 1 species
AUUGAACGCUGGCGGCAUGCCUUACACAUGCAAGUCGAACGGUAACAGGCCGCAAGGUGCUGACGAGUGGCGAACGGGUGAGUAAUGCACCGGAACGUGCCCAGUUGUGGGGGAUAACUGCUCGAAAGAGCAGCUAAUACCGCAUACGACCUGAGGGUGAAAGCGGGGGAUCGCAAGACCUCGCGCAAUUGGAGCGGCCGAUGUCAGAUUAGGUAGUUGGUGGGGUAAAGGCCUACCAAGCCGACGAUCUGUAGUUGGUCUGAGAGGACGACCAGCCACACUGGGACUGCGACACGGCCCAGACUCCUACGGGAGGCAGCAGUGGGGAAUUUUGGACAAUGGGGGCAACCCUGAUCCAGCCAUUCCGCGUGAGUGAAGAAGGCCUUCGGGUUGUAAAGCUCUUUUGUCCGGGAAGAAACGGUUUCAACUAAUACUUGAGACUACUGACGGUACCGGAAGAAUAAGGACCGGCUAACUACGUGCCAGCAGCCGCAGUAACAC